rnacentral:rRNA from 2 species
CGGCGAGUGAAGCGGCAACAGCUCAAAUUUGAAAUCUGGCUCCUCUGGGGUCUGAGUUGUAAUUUGUAGAGGGUGCUUUGGCGUUGGUUGUGGUCUAAGUUCCUUGGAACAGGACGUCACAGAGGGUGAGAAUCCCGUACGUGGCCGCCAGCCUUCGCCGUGUAAAGCCCCUUCGAUGAGUCGAGUUGUUUGGGAAUGCAGCUCUAAAUGGGAGGUAAAUUUCUUCUAAAGCUAAAUAUUUGCCAGAGACCGAUAGCGCACAAGUAGAGUGAUCGAAAGAUGAAAAGCACUUUGGAAAGAGAGUCAAAAAGCACGUGAAAUUGUUGAAAGGGAAGCGCUUGCAGCUAGACGUGCCUUGGGUUGAUCAGCCGGACUUUUGCCCGGUGCACUCUUCCUUUGGCAGGCCAGCAUCAGUUUGGGCGGCUGGAUAAAGGUCUGUUAAACGUGACUUCCUUCGGGGAGAGCUUAUAGGGCAGACGACAUGCAGCCAGCCUGAACUGAGGUCCGCGCAUCUGCUAGGAUGCUGGCAUAAUAGCUGUAAGCGGCCCGUCUUGAAACACGGACCAAGGAGUCUAACAUCUAUGCGAGUGUUUGGGUGUCAAGCCCGAGCGCGUAAUGAAAGUAAACGGAGGUGGGAACCUUUUAGGUGCACCAUCGACCGAUCUUGAUGUCUUCGGAUGGAUUUGAGUAAGAGCAUAGCUGUUGGGACCCGAAAGAUGGUGAACUAUGCCUGAAUAGGGUGAAGCCAGAGGAAACUCUGGUGGAGGCUCGCAGCGGUUCUGACGUGCAAAUCGAUCGUCAAAUUUGGGCAUAGGGGCGAAAGACUAAUCGAAC